AUUGAACGCUGGCGGCAGGCCUAACACAUGCAAGUCGAGCGGCAGCGGAAAGUAGCUUGCUACUUUGCCGGCGAGCGGCGGACGGGUGAGUAAUGUCUGGGAAACUGCCUGAUGGAGGGGGAUAACUACUGGAAACGGUAGCUAAUACCGCAUGACCUCGAAAGAGCAAAGUGGGGGAUCUUCGGACCUCACGCCAUCGGAUGUGCCCAGAUGGGAUUAGCUAGUAGGUGAGGUAAUGGCUCACCUAGGCGACGAUCCCUAGCUGGUCUGAGAGGAUGACCAGCCACACUGGAACUGAGACACGGUCCAGACUCCUACGGGAGGCAGCAGUGGGGAAUAUUGCACAAUGGGCGCAAGCCUGAUGCAGCCAUGCCGCGUGUGUGAAGAAGGCCUUAGGGUUGUAAAGCACUUUCAGCGAGGAGGAAGGCAUCAUACUUAAUACGUGUGGUGAUUGACGUUACUCGCAGAAGAAGCACCGGCUAACUCCGUGCCAGCGGCCGCGGUAAUACGGAGGGUGCAAGCGUUAAUCGGAAUUACUGGGCGUAAAGCGCACGCAGGCGGUUUGUUAAGUCAGAUGUGAAAUCCCCGCGCUUAACGUGGGAACUGCAUUUGAAACUGGCAAGCUAGAGUCUUGUAGAGGGGGGUAGAAUUCCAGGUGUAGCGGUGAAAUGCGUAGAGAUCUGGAGGAAUACCGGUGGCGAAGGCGGCCCCCUGGACAAAGACUGACGCUCAGGUGCGAAAGCGUGGGGAGCAAACAGG
rnacentral:rRNA from 1 species